GAAACCCUGCCUGUGGUGAAGUGGUCCUCUGAGUGCCCCCACCAGCAGUCUAUCCUUAAGAGCAGAGGCAGGUGAGGAAGGGGUGGUGUGCUGCAGAGGGACAUCUUUCUGGGGCUCUUUUUUCAGAGACACCGCCCCCGUUCAUGAGGCCACUCAGUUCUAUGGAACCAUUUUGUUGAAGAACAAAGGUGAUAUUGAAGUUACACAGAUGACACAUUUUGGAACCCUAAAGGAAGGAAGAAGUAAAACCAUAGUGAUCUGGAUAGAGAAUAAAGGAGACAUUCCUCAAAACUUAGUCAGCUGUAAACUGGCUGGCUGGGAUCAAUCUAAACAAUUCAGAUUUCAAAUGCUGAAUAAAGACCAGACGUGCCCCAUGGUAUCUUUUGUUUCUGUUCCUGAGAAGGAGAAUUCAUCAGAUGAAAAUGUUAGUUCAUUAAAUAGCCACACAAAAAACACAGUCUCUCAGAUGUCAGAGAACGGUUUGGUGAACAACAGAAGAAUCUCUCCAGGUAGUGGACGUUACGGCUGUCACUGCAUGAGGUUGGGCGGGCCAGGGGCCAUGGGGUUGUGAGCUCUGGACAGAGGGCAGGCAGCAGGGGCCAGAAUACCCGGCAGCUGCAGUGCUUUGUGCUCUGAGCUCUUCGGCUUCAGGCCCUUCUCCUCUUGCUGACAAGGUUAGGGAGAGGGACAGAAAGCAGUUAGACAAAUACCAAGAGGUGCUUCAGAUGGCAGCCAGCUCCUGAGUGCUUCUAAGCAGGGAAAGAUUGCUGGGCACGCCAGGGAGGGCCUUCUUUCCCAGCACUUGGAUAGUCGUGGUCACAGCCCUUUCCUACUUCCAGCUGCUCUCUCUGUUUAUGUUUUUCCAGCCACCAUCUGAGACUUUGCCCUGUGUUUUUGUGUGCAUCUGUGUGUGUGUGUGUGUGUGUGUGAGAGAGAGAGAGAGAGAGAGUCUUCAUUUCCACUAAGCAUGCCAGCACUAUUAGAGAUAAUUUACCUUUUGGUCUAACUUUGUAUUAAAAUUUUUAUUUCCCAGGUGAUUAUACCUGUAAAGGAGAAAAUGGAGAAAAAGACAACAUUCUCUCAAGGAAGCAGAUGACAGAGCCCGAGCCUGGGGGGGCUUGUCCCUCCAGGGGGAAAAACCUUCAUUGUGGUCAUAUGUGAUGGAAAGUAAGGGCCUGGAGGUCUGAAGAAAGCCAACUUUUUAAGUUUCUCUGAUACUUCUAGGUUGGGCGUUAUACAAGGUACUCCUUUGAGGUGGGCAGAUCACCUGAGACCAGGAGUUCGAAACCAGCCUGGCCAACAUGGCAAAACCCCGCCUCUACUAAAAAUACCAAAAUUACUUGGGCCCCUGUAAUCCUAGCUACUCAGGAUGCUGAGGCAGUAGAAUCGCUUAAGCCCAGGUGACGGAGGUUGCAGUGAGCCAAAGAUCGCAUGACUGCACUCCAACCUGAGACAGAGCAAGACUCUGUCUCAAAAAAACAAAAAGGUACACCUGACUGUUUUGAUGUGACAGAAUCCUAAGAAAAAGCAUUGGUCUAGAAGCCGGCUACCAAGUGUGACCCACCUGGGGCAAUGGAUUCUGUAACUUCACACCACUCAUGAGGGUCCUCACCAGACGGCCUUGCUGUCACCCUCACAAAGGAAACAGGGCAUCUGUGAGGCUCUCUGAGGCCUGAGCUCCCUGUGCUUCUGCUCUUCUGAGACAUCACAUCGGCUCCUCUUCACUGCCUUGCCUGUGUUCCCCGUAGCCGAGCCCUUGGACCUUGGUCAUCUCCAUCCUGGCACCUGGGUGUUUGGCCAAGGCACGGACAGCACAGUGUGCUGAGGGAGGGCCAGGGACGGUCCCUUCCUAGCUGGGAUGCCAGUCACCAACCUUGAGCCCUCCCCUCUCCCUGCUGUGGUUGGCUACAUCAACUGACCAAACAGGCCCUGUCCUCCAGCUCCCUGUGUCCCCACAUCCCUGCCUAAGCUGCCCUACAGUGCGUGAUUGCCUUCCAGCUGGGUGUCUAAUCCUCAAUUUUUUUAAAAAAACAAAUCUGAUGAAAUCACAGCUCAUCAACAUCAAGCUGUGGGUGGCAAGUGCACAGUCAGCUGUGUGAGGUGCAGCCAGCUUCAGUGCUUUUUUCUUUUUUUUUUUUUGACCUUAUGACAACAUAGAAACAGGUUUAAAAAAAAAAAAAGAAAAGGCAUAGGUGGGCACAACGUGUAGUGUGGAUGGUGUAGCCCCAGUUAGAGCCACAGCAAGGGCUGGGCAGAAAGCACAUUAGGUGUAGUACCUGUUUUUGGUCAUGUCAUAAAAUUCUGACUUAAAGCUGGGAAUAUCAAAACUUUCCUAUUCUUAUAUGUUAGGAUUACAAAAAAGACUGUCAUAGAUGCUUAAUUUUUGUUGUUGUUGUUGCCUAGGCUGGAGUGCAGAGGCGUGAUCAUGGCUCACUGCAGCCUCUACCUCCCUGGGUUCCCACCUCAGCCUCCCAAGUAGCCGGAACCACAGGCAUGCACCGCCAUGCCCGGCUAAUUUGUGUAUUUUUUGCAGAGACAGGUUCAUCGUAUGUUGCCCAGGCUGGUCUCAAACUCCUGGGCUCAAGCGAUCUGCCUGCUUCAGUCUCCCAAAGUGCUGGGAUUACAGGCCUGAGCCACCACACCUGGCCCAUAGGUGCUUAAUUUUAUCUUGAGAAAAUAUUAAUUACAUAGCUUAUUUUAGAAAAUCUCUUUUUUCUCUGGAAAAAGAAUUAUUGAAGACUGAAGAUGACUGUUAGCUCUGUCACUUUUCUUGUAUGUGCAAAGGAAAAUUGUGUUGACUCUGCUUGUCUUAAUUAUGACUAAAACUAAAUUUCAUUUUGUUUUUUCAAGAAAUCCUGGCCGCUGCAAGGAGCUCCUUUUGCUUUGUUUUUCCGAUUUCCUGAUUGGGCGAUAUCUUGAAGUAAAUGUUAUCAGUGGGGAGGAGUUACUAAUUGCUGUGCGUGAACCAUUUUCUUGGAAAAAGCUUAAAAGUUCACAAGCAUUAACAUCUGCAAAAACUACAGUUGUUGUGACCCCACAGAAAAGGUACCCUAAGUGAAAUGAGUGUGGCUCUUGGUCUGGCAGUUUUAUUUGCUGGGUUUCAAGUCUCUUUUCAUGAUUGUAUUUGGGGGAUGGGGUGCAUUUCCAUGGAACUCUGAAGGUCAAGUUCUGUCUCUGCAGCUGCCCAGCAGCAGCCUGAAGCCCAAGGAAGACAGCCUUCACUCCCUCAAGCCCCACUCUGCCCUGGCAGUUCUAAAGGUGGCUCUCAGAGCAGGCUGGCCUCACCCAGCUCCCACCACCUCUCCCAUCCUGACGAGGCCAUGGUGGGUAGUGCAAGGCAUCCCUGUGUCACUUGCACUGGGGGCAACAGGAUUGUGGGGUCACCCGAAGCCUGUUUGAAGAUGUGGUACCACUUAAGAAUGAAGUUAGAAGAAACUGUGUGUGAUCUGGGACUUGUGGCUGGGGAACAUAGGGACCACCCAGAUUUUAACUGGAGUUUUGUCUCAGGAAAGCAUUUCAUGUCCACGUGUUCUCUUCUGUAGUUAUAAAACCAAAAAGCCCUGAACAGCAG
rnacentral:lncRNA from 1 species